CAGUAGCCGCGGUAAUACGUAGGUCCCGAGCGUUGUCCGGAUUUAUUGGGCGUAAAGCGAGCGCAGGCGGUUAGAUAAGUCUGAAGUUAAAGGCUGGGGCUUAACCAUAGUAUGCUUUGGAAACUGUUUAACUUGAGUGCAAGAGGGGAGAGUGGAAUUCCAUGUGUAGCGGUGAAAUGCGUAGAUAUAUGGAGGAACACCGGUGGCGAAGGCGACUCUCUGGUCUGUAACUGACGCUGAGGAGCGAAAGCGUGGGGAGCGAACAGGAUUAGAUACCCGUGUAGUCCCUGUCUCUUAUACC
rnacentral:rRNA from 1 species